AUUGAACGCUGGCGGCAGGCCUAACACAUGCAAGUCGCGCGAGCGGCGGACGGGUGAGUAAUGUAUGGGGACUGGCCGCUAGCAGGGUAUCACUACUGGAAACGGUAGCUAAUAACGCAUACUAUCGGAUAACCCAUAUGGGAUUAGCUAGUAGGUGAAGUAAUGGCUCACAUAGGCGACCAUCCCUAGCUGGUCUGCGAGGAUGAUCAGCCACACUGUGACAGAGACCCGGCCCAGUAACCGACGGAGGCAGCAGUGGGGAAUAUUGCACAAUGGGCUCAAGCCUGAUGCAGCCAUGCCGCGUGUAUGAAGAAGGCCCUAGGGUUGUAAAGUACUUUCAGUCGGGAGGCGUUACCGACAGAAGAAGCACCGGCUAACGCCGGGCCAGCAGCCGCGGUAAUAC
rnacentral:rRNA from 1 species